rnacentral:rRNA from 1 species
AUUGAACGCUGGCGGCAUGCCUUACACAUGCAAGUCGAACGGUAACAGGUCUUCGGAUGCUGACGAGUGGCGAACGGGUGAGUAAUACAUCGGAACGUGCCCGAUCGUGGGGGAUAACGAAGCGAAAGCUUUGCUAAUACCGCAUAAGAUCUACUGAUGAAAGCAGGGGACCGCAAGGCCUUGCGCGAACGGAGCGGCCGAUGGCAGAUUAGGUAGUUGGUGGGAUAAAAGCUUACCAAGCCGACGAUCUGUAGCUGGUCUGAGAGGACGACCAGCCACACUGGGACUGAGACACGGCCCAGACUCCUACGGGAGGCAGCAGUGGGGAAUUUUGGACAAUGGGCGAAAGCCUGAUCCAGCCAUGCCGCGUGCAGGAUGAAGGCCUUCGGGUUGUAAACUGCUUUUGUACGGAACGAAAAGACUCUUUCUAAUAAAGAGGGUCCAUGACGGUACCGUAAGAAUAAGCACCGGCUAACUACGUGCCAGCAGCCGCAGUAAGAC